AGGGGAGUAGCUCAAUUGGCAGAGCGUCGGUCUCCAAAACCGAAGGUCGCGGGUUCGAUUCCCUCCUCCCCUGCCA
rnacentral:tRNA from 5 species